GACGAACGCUGGCGGCGUGCCUAAUACAUGCAAGUCGAGCGAAGCGGCGGAUGGGUGAGUAACGCGUGGGUAACCUGCCCUUAAGUCUGGGAUACCAUUUGGAAACAGAUGCUACUACCGGCUACUAAAGGAUGCACCUGCGAUGAAGUGGCUAGUUGGUAAGGUAACGGCUUACCAAGGCGAUGAUGCAGAGCCGAGUGUAGAGGCUGAUCGGCCACAUUUGGACUGAGACACGGCCCAUACUCCUACGGGAGGCAGCAGUAGGGAAUCUUCCACAAUGGACGAAAGUCUGAUGGAGCAACGCCGCGUGAGUGAAGAAGGUUUUCGGAUCGUAAAGCUCUGUUGUUGGUGAAGCGGUAAUCAACCAGAAAGUCACGGCUAACUACGUGCCAGCAGCCGCGGUAAUUC
rnacentral:rRNA from 1 species